rnacentral:rRNA from 1 species
UACACUCCUACGGGAGGCAGCAGUGGGGAAUAUUGGACAAUGGGCGCAAGCCUGAUCCAGCCAUGCCGCGUGAGUGAUGAAGGCCCUAGGGUUGUAAAGCUCUUUCACCGGUGAAGAUAAUGACGGUAACCGGAGAAGAAGCCCCGGCUAACUUCGUGCCAGCAGCCGCGGUAAUACGAAGGGGGCUAGCGUUGUUCGGAUUUACUGGGCGUAAAGCGCACGUAGGCGGACUAUUAAGUCAGGGGUGAAAUCCCGGGGCUCAACCCCGGAACUGCCUUUGAUACUGGUAGUCUUGAGUUCGAGAGAGGUGAGUGGAAUUCCGAGUGUAGAGGUGAAAUUCGUAGAUAUUCGGAGGAACACCAGUGGCGAAGGCGGCUCACUGGCUCGAUACUGACGCUGAGGUGCGAAAGCGUGGGGAGCAAACAGGAUUAGAAACCCCUGUAGUCCCAU